rnacentral:rRNA from 1 species
CCUACGGGAGGCUGCAGUGGGGAAUAUUGGACAAUGGGGGCAACCCUGAUCCAGCCAUGCCGCGUGUGUGAAGAAGGCCCUCGGGUUGUAAAGCACUUUCAGUGAGGAAGAACACCUGGUGGUUAAUACCCAUCAGGAAAGACAUCACUCACAGAAGAAGCACCGGCUAACUCCGUGCCAGCAGCCGCGGUAAUACGGAGGGUGCGAGCGUUAAUCGGAAUUACUGGGCGUAAAGCGCGCGUAGGUGGCUUGAUAAGCCGGUUGUGAAAGCCCCGGGCUCAACCUGGGAACGGCAUCCGGAACUGUCAAGCUAGAGUGCAGGAGAGGAAGGUAGAAUUCCCGGUGUAGCGGUGAAAUGCGUAGAGAUCGGGAGGAAUACCAGUGGCGAAGGCGGCCUUCUGGACUGACACUGACACUGAGGUGCGAAAGCGUGGGUAGCAAACAGGAUUAGAUACCCUAGUAGUC